rnacentral:rRNA from 1 species
CCUACGGGGUGCAGCAGUGGGGGAUAUUGCACAAGGGGGGGAACCCUGAUGCAGCGACGCCGCGUGUGGGAAGACGGUCCUCUGGAUUGUAAACCACUGUCCCCAGGGACGACAAUGCCGGUACCUGGGGAGGACGCUCCGGCUAACUACGUGCCAGCAGCCGCGGUAAUACGGAGGGAGCGAGCGUUGUCCGGAAUUACUGGGUGUAAAGGGAGCGUAGGCGGGGAUGCAAGUUGGGUGUAAAAACUACCGGCUCAACUGGUAGUCGCACUCAAAACUGCAGCUCUUGAGUGAAGUAGAGGCAGGCGGAAUUCCUAGUGUAGCGGUGAAAUGCGUAAAUAUUAGGAGGAACACCAGUGGCGAAGGCGGCCUGCUGGGCUUUUACUGACGCUGAGGCUCGAAAGUGUGGGGAGCAAACAGGAUUAGAUACCCGGGUAGUC